GCCGGGCGCAGUGGCGGGUGCCUGUAAUCCCAGCUACUCGGGAGGCUGAGGCAGAAGAAUCGCUUGAACCCGGGAGGAGGAGGUUGCAGCGAGCCAAGAUUGUGCGACUGCACUCCAGCCUGGGCAACAGAGUGAGACUCUGCCUCAA
rnacentral:sRNA from 1 species